rnacentral:pre_miRNA from 1 species
AGUGGGAUAGCUGGGUCAAAUGGUGGUUCCAUUCCAAGUUUUCUGAGGAAUCUUCAUACUGCUUUCCAGAGUGGUUGCAUCAAUUUGCAAUCCUAUCAGUAAU